CGCCGCCGUGCUGCCCGGAGCGGGCUCGGGCUGAGGAGUGGCUGCAGGGAGCGGGACAAACGGGGUGUGGGGGGAUGCAGAGAGGGGCUUCGGCCGGGUUUUGAGGCUGCCCGCUGGGGAGGAGGCAGGCCGAGCGCUCCAGCUCUGCUCUCCAGACUGCUGUAGGUGCUCAUUGGAGCCGCGGAGUUUCAUCGGUCCCACACCUGCUGGGGAAACGCCCCGUGAAGCCACAGGAGCCCUGGCACAGCCUGAGCAGCCCCAGCCCGGCGCGUCCAUCCCCCUCAGCCCCCGCAGGUCCCGCCCGAGGCCUUCGGGGCGAAAGGGCUCCCUGAGGGGACACCCCCAGGGUGGGACCCCGAGGACGGGAGAGCCCCAGUCCUGCUCUAGCAAAGGCAGCUACGUCAAGAGUUAAGGAUAAAGCGAAAUUGAGCCAGCGGCUUCAGAAUUUCCGGGAAUUCAGCUGACCCACAGCUGCCUUAACUGGCGGGAGCUUUUCCGAGCGCCAUUGUCCCCUCAGAGCAUAAGCAAGAUUUUUGUGUCGUGGAGUGUCGGGGUACCGGGACUAGAGCAGACUCAUCGCUGAUCUCGCUCCUGGCCAGCUGCCCAUGAGCUUUCUUCCUGUUGCCGUGGCAUACUUUGCGGUACUGGUCAUAGGCGCUGCAAUUUUGGCAGUUGCAAUGAAUCAGCCCAUGGAAGCCUCUGUGAAUGCCAAGGUUGCACAUGGUGGUCCUGGGGGGAAACAAAAGGCCGCCCCCCCAGGCUGCAGCCAAUACCUUGCUGAGAAGAAGAAGAAAGACUGAUUACCAUGGCCAGUGAACAGAAGGGGCUGCAUAAAUGGCCUGACUCUGCCCUUAGGGCAGCAGCUGAUUACAUGCUGGCACAGAAACAGCUCCUUCUGUUCAAUGCAAGGAAGGAAAAGCAAGAUUCCUUCCUUCCAAGCACACAGAUUCAUCUUCAGACGCCUGGUGCUGGAAAGUCCAAUCCCUCCCACAGCUUCUGCUUUCAAUGAUUUGGAGUUAAGCAGUAGAUAAGCAAUAAAUGAAUAGUGCUGAA